rnacentral:rRNA from 1 species
UGGGGGAUAUUGCACAAUGGGGGGAACCCUGAUGCAGCGACGCCGCGUGAGUGAAGAAGUAAUUCGUUAUGUAAAGCUCUAUCAGCAGGGAAGAAUAAAUGACGGUACCUGAGUAAGAAGCCCCGGCUAACUACGUGCCAGCAGCCGCGGUAAUACGUAGGGGGCAAGCGUUAUCCGGAUUUACUGGGUGUAAAGGGAGCGUAGACGGCGAUGCAAGCCAGAUGUGAAAGCCCGCGGCUCAACUGCGGUAGUGCAUUUGGAACUGUAUGGCUGGAGUGCAGGAGAGGCAGGCGGAAUUCCUAGUGUAGCGGUGAAAUGCGUAGAUAUUAGGAGGAACACCAGUGGCGAAGGCGGCCUGCUGGACUGUAACUGACGUUGAGGCUCGAAAGCGUGGGGAGCAAACAGG